rnacentral:rRNA from 1 species
ACUACGGGUGGCAGCAGUGGGGAAUAUUGCACAAUGGGGGAAACCCUGAUGCAGCGACGCCGCGUGAGUGAAGAAGUAUUUCGGUAGGUAAAGCUCUAUCAGCAGGGAAGAAAAUGACGGUACCUGACUAAGAAGCCCCGGCGAACUACGUGCCAGCAGACGCGGUAAGACGUAGGGGGCCCAAGUUAUCCGGAUUUGCAGGGUGUAAAGGGAGCGUAGACGGCAGCGGAAGUCUGGAGUGAAAUCCCAUGGAUUAACCAUGGAACUGAUUUGGAAACUGGGCAGCGAAAGUGCAGGAGAUGUUAGCGGAAUUCCUAGUGUAGCAGUGAAAUGCGUAGAUAGUAGG